AGUUUAGUAAUAAAUAUAUAUUUAACGUAAUUUAUUUUUAUACGUUCUAAAUAUUUCAACGAUUUAUGAAAUCAAAAAAAUAAUUUUAGAAUUUUAUGUUGAAAAGAAUUUGAAUUGCGAAAACACGUUCGAUUGAAUUUGGAAAACAAUAUUAACUGGUUUUGGAUUCAAACAAACUCAAUUCUAAUCCUAGCCCAAAUUGACAAAGCCCAAAACAAGAAAACCCAUAUUAUCAACCCAUAAUUCAACUUCACGUAAAAUCAAGAAAGCCAAAAACCCUCUUCUCUCCUCUCCUCCAAUUCACGUGAAAAGCAAGCAAACUCUCUCUCUGCUUCAGCCACCGCCGCCCUCCUUGCUGUUGUCCCUCACGCCGCCGGCCAACCACCUCAGACGCUCCUCCUCCGUCGCGUGCAACCUUCCUCGCCGCCACCUGCACCCCGUCGCUGCCGCCAACCAACCAGCACCGGUCGUUGGCCCCUUCCCUUCUCCUUCGCGAAGCAUCAACACUCCUCCUUUUCUUUCUCCUCUGCGUGCGUUUCCUCCUGCUUGCACCACCAGCCACCUUCGGUCACCCUGCUGCGCCACCACCCAUCGCCGCGCUGCCACUGUGGCAUCGCCGUGCUGCUGCACCAACCGCCGUCAGCUCUUCCUCCCUUCACUUUUUGGCGGAGAAUUCUCUUUAGGCGACUUUUGAAAGUGUUAAAGUGGCCUAUUAGUUGUUUAUGCAAGUCUCUAAGGAUCAAUAAGCGUUGCCCAUCUACAGGUUUGAAGAUGAUGCACCAUUGGGAUCGGGAUUAGAGAGCUUGUUGUUCUAUUUGUUUACUUGAGUGAUUUAAUUUGUUAACUUGGAUUUGAAAUUUGUCGUACUAUUCGUAUUUCCUUAUUUCAGUUAAUUGGUUUGGACCUAAUAUGUAAUAGAUUAUUUAUGAACCUAAAAGUUAGUUUUAUGUUUUCCGCUGCAAAAUUCUGAAUAAGCCGUUACGUUUUUACA